rnacentral:rRNA from 1 species
AGCAGCCGCGGUAACUCCAGCUCCAAUAGCGUAUAUUAAAGUUGUUGCAGUUAAAAAGCUCGUAGUUGAAUUUCGGGGUCAGUAGGCUGGUCGUGCCACGGGUAUGUACUGGUCUUACUGGUUCCUCCUUCCUGAUGAACCGUAAUGCCAUUAAUUUGGUGUUGCGGGGAAUCUGGACUGUUACUUUGAAAAAAUUAGAGUGUUUAAAGCAGGCUAACGCUUGAAUACAUUAGCAUGGAAUAAUGAAAUAGGACGAUCGAUCCUAUUUUGUUGGUUUCUAGGAUUGACGUAAUGAUUAAUGGGGAUAGUUGGGGGCAUUAGUAUUCAAUUGUCAGAGGUGAAAUUCUUGGAUUUAUUGAAGACUAACUACUGCGAAAGCAUUUGCCAAGGAUGUUUUCAUUAAUCAAGAACGAAAGUUAGGGAUCGAAGACGAUCAGAUACCGUCGUAGUCUUAACCAUAAACUAUGCCGACUAGGGAUCGGAUGAUGUUAAUUUUUANGUACUCAUUCGGCGCCUUAAC